rnacentral:misc_RNA from 1 species
UUCUAUUGCAGUAAAAUUCGUCCGAAAGAACAUAUAGUCCAUAAUUUGUGUUAAAUAACUCUAAGAAAGCGGUUUUCGUCGUAAUCAAAACAUGAAUCAAAGCAAAUAUGGUUCGUUCACUCGGCAUAAUAGUUUGAAAAAUAAACAACCUGGUGGCAAAUUGACCAAACCUGAUUGGAAUCUCUGUACAUUACGACCUUUCCAAAAAAAUUUUUACAGAGAAAAUCCUAAUGUUACUAAAAGAUCAUCUUUCUUUCAGGUGGAAGUCGACGCUUUUAGAAGAACUAAUGAUAUAACUGUACGAGGAGAAAAUAUUCCAAAACCUUUAACUACAUUUGAUGAAGGGAAUUUUCCAGGUAAGAAUUU